rnacentral:rRNA from 1 species
UUCAGAAUCCGGUUGAUCCUGCCGGACCUGACUGCUAUCGGAUUGAUACUAAGCCAUGCGAGUCUUUGUAGUAAUACAAGGCAUACGGCUCAGUAACGCGUAGUCAACCUACCCUAUGGACAAGAAUAAUCUCGGGAAACUGAGCAUAAUUCUUGAUAGAUCAUAAUGCCUGGAAUGGUUUAUGGUUAAAAUGAUUCGUCGCCAUAGGAUGGGACUGCGGCCUAUCAGCUUGUUGGUGAGGUAAUGGCCCACCAAGGCGAUUACAGGUACGGGCUCUGAGAGGAGAAGCCCGGAGAUGGGUACUGAGACAAGGACCCAGGCCCUAUGGGGCGCAGCAGGCGAGAAAACUUUGCAAUGUGCGAAAGCACGACAAGGUUAGUCCGAGUGAUUUCUGCUAAAGAAAUCUUUUGCAAGUCAUAAAACCACUAGUGAAUAAGGGGUGGGCAAGUUCUGGUGUCAGCCGCCGCGGUAAAACCAGCACCUCAAGUGGUCAGGAGGAUUAUUGGGCCUAAAGCAUCCGUAGCCGGCUCUGUAAGUUUUCGGUUAAAUCUAUACGCUCAACGUAUGGGCUGCCGAAAAUA